rnacentral:tmRNA from 1 species
GACUGUUUAUGGCACAGAAUGGAUCACAGAAAAGGUGCUUAUGUAGUACAUUGGGUCCCCGACUGGUGAUGAUUUCAGCCAGGUCUGGAUCAUCUAUGAGCUUAGAGGUGGUGUACAUCAUCAGGGUGUAGGCGGUUCUGUCUAGCAAAGAGGUGUUAUUUUCCAGGCAGGUGAGUAUGGUGGAUUUGAUCUCUUGGAGGAUCCUGGCCGCCUCGGGGUGACACGCCAGACAUUCGCACAACACGCACACGGAGCUGGUGUUGCCCCUACAUUUGAGGGAGAAGGGAAACGAGAGUAGGCACGGUCCUUGGGAGGUAUCCACCGUCUCUACAGGUGUGUCUGGCUCGGAGUAAUCGGGGUCGAGUAACAGGGACCGCUUCCAGGCCUCGCUGAAUAUCUUGAGAAGACUUGGCCUGUUGGUGUUUGAAAAGAACUCACGGUGGGGCACAGCCUUGACAGGGCAGCCAGUGGGGGGAUCUGGACUCUGGGCCCCCUUCUUGUGGGCUGUUUCCAGAGAGCUGGACCAGAUACCUUGUAUGUGAGCAGCAGACUGGACAUUACAGAUGGUAUUAGAUAACAAACUCAGGCGGACCUGGUGCAGGUUUUCCAGUUGAGCCACCUGAUCGGGGGUGGUGUGCCUGAAGCAUUGCCUGGCAAAGAAAUGAAGGUAAAAGUCUAUGCCCAUGAUCUUGCUAGAGUUUAUUUUCUCAGUAAUGAGAUGGUUUAGUCCCGCGUUAGAGAAGAUUUGCAACAUAUCACAGAUUGUUAUGUAGGUUGCGGACCAGGUCACGGGGGCAUGCAGCACGUAGAAGCAGAGGGUCGCAUACUCACUAAAAAAAGAAUCAGGGGGAUUGUGUUCCAGCACAGCUUCGAAAAGCAUGUUACAUAUCUUGCACUUGGAAGUGGGCAACAACGUGCUUGAGAUAUGAGUGAGUGUGGGAUCAUGAAAGCCUGUUUCUGGUGUGGCAGGUAGGUAGGAUUUAGAAAGUAACAUCUGCAUGAUUGAAUCGUGGGAGGUGACUGUCUCUAGAGACCAUGGUACGUACAUCUUCACCACUCGAUGGCGGCCAGUGUAUUUGAGAGGAAGGAUAGCUGUGUUAAAUACCUCCUGAGUCAUGGGGGGCAAUGGUGAUAGCUUUGCAUAUCCUCAGCUUUUAGAUUUUGAGGACAUAUUUACCGAGGACAUAGAUUCAUAUUUUUCCACAACCUAUGUAAAGUUUCACUUUUUGAACUACUGUAUCUUUUUGACCUGGUUUAUUAGUCAUAGGCACACUGAAAAGGGAUGUGUCCAUGGUCUUAUAUUUGACAGAAAGCUGUCAGCGGUCAGGGAUACCAUAUUGACCCUGGUGGACACUGAUCGGCUCAUAGACGGACAUGGCUAACCAGAAGAAGCUGAUAGACGAGCUCUGUGGGAUUGUUACUUCUUUUCUAUGUCCCCAGGGGAUUGUGCCAGAGAUUGAAAAAUGUUCUACAAAGCUGCCUCAUUUUUCUAAAGGUGGAACAAAGCCUGUGUGCACAGUGAGGCUCCAGCAUGGCCACACUUAUCACAUUGAGUUUGUGUACAAGUUUUGGCAGCACAUUUUGGGCCAGCUUCGCCUGCCCCUACAGCCUUGCUUUAUUUUGACAAAUAACGGCUUGGCCACCACUUUGAAAUGUUUUAUGAGCCCGCCAAGGGAUAUAGACUUUCAGUAUGGCAACAGGGUCAAUAUGGCCUGCGAUGUGAAUUUGGAGAAAAACUCUUGUGUUAUCAUAGAGGACGAGGAUUUCCUGAGGUUCAAGAGCUACCAUGUGUUUCCCAAGGACGUACCAAUCUAUAACUCUAUGGUGGUAUGUAGAACCUACAUCACUGAUAUGAGGAACGCAGUACAAUUUUUUGUGGUCAAGCCUGGAAACAGGAGAAAGAUUGUGCAUAUGUUGGAAAGUAUUGAGGAGAUGCCUGAAACCCCACAACAGUUGUAUUUUUGUGGUGGACGUGGGUAUAAGAUGAUAGGGGCUGGGCUCUCCCUCUUCUUUUUUGCAGCCAUAGUGGCGCUGGCCAGUAAACUAGUAUGGUGAUGGGGGCCUUGGACUAUCUGCGCUUGAUGAAUAUUUCAGUGGAUGAGUUUAGAAGCUUUUGUAUCUAUGGCCACCUCAGUGGGCAGCGUGGAUGGGGUGAGCUGUUGUUGAGCAAUCUUUCAUUUAAAAGAGCAGUGUGCCAUAUACUGAAAAUACAGUGUGAGACUAAGAAGAGGUGGACAAACAAGGAUCGAGGACAUGUGUUUCCCGCUGACCAAAAUACUCACUGUGCCCUUCCUCAAGGCCCUAGAUCUGUAUCUCUCCCAGUUUUCCAUCUCAUGCAAGUUUCCCAUAAUUAAAAUAUCCACUGUGAAUCCUACCCUUCUGGCGUUUACCAAGAAGAAAUAUCUGGCUAGUGUUGUGUCUGAUCAACCCAUCGAGGUCCCUGCUCCAUCUGCCCGGCCUGAUCCUGUGAGGUUUACUGCUGCGGUGCCCUUAGCUUCUGAUGAGCAGUCUCUGGUGAAAGCUUUACAUUCCAGUACCGGGACAGUCCAGUGUGGAAAUCCAUUUUAUUAUAUGAUGACCAGACUUUGCUUGUAUGGACUAAUGCAUGGUAGGGGGGGAAUUGUGCCAGUUUCCAGCUCUAGUAAGCAGAGUGUAUAUGAUGUGGCUAUAAGAUUUAUAGGUUCUAGGAUAUUGAGCCCGAUAGUGAGGCUGCCAAUUUUAUCCAGGGCUUUGGCAGACCUGGCGCUGACGGGGCACGGUCAUCAGAUAACAGUGUGUAAUGAAUGUGGCCACUGUUUAAAUUUGGGCAGGGAUAAAUUUCUUGCAGUAAAUUUUUCCCCCACAAGUAUGUUUUAUUGCAGAGAUCAAAAGGAGAAACAGUUUAACAUAUGUGCUACAACUGGGAGGAUCUAUUGUUCAUAUUGUGGGGCGACAGAGUUUACAGUGUAUGACAUGGUGGGAAGGUAUGCUACGGGGGAGCCUUUUAUUAGGGCGGUUUCCUCAGCUAACUCCCUUAGUAUUUUAGAUAAUAGCGAACAGGAGUGUGAUAUACUGAUCCCUUGUUUUGGUAAAUCUAGGUCUUGCAGUAUUAAGCUGAGGGCGACAUUUAGGGAGCUACUUUAUUUGACAGCGUCUGUUGAUAAUUUUAUUUGUCAAAAGUGUUCCAAUAAGGGUGAUGAAUAAAGACAGGGUCAAAGCUCCAGCUUUCCACCCAGAGCUCCAUAACAAGCUUUUGGAAAGGCUUAAGGCUGCCUAUGGAAAGGACAGUAUUGGCAAAGACCCAGAAGAAGCCCCAGUUCCCCUGUUGUUGCAUACCUGUGCAGUUAGAUUCUAUGAAGAGUACAAAGAAUUGACACGUGAUAACACAUUGCCUACAUUGGUAAACAAGAAAGGAUUCCCGGGGGAUGCCAAAAUGAUGGACCCUGUCUUGGGUAUCUAUCACUCUGGAAAAAAACAGGGAGCAUCAAGUGUCCCUUCCUCUUCUGGAGCAUUUGACGGAGGGAGCCACGGUGGCCCUCUACCUUCUGUUGAUCUUCCUCAAAGGGAGGGAGGCCUGUGGUACGGACUGGGCCCUGACAAGUCUGGACUGGGUUUUGUGCUCCCCUCUGAUCCAGGGUCUAUGUCUGACGGGAACAGCUUUAGGGUUAUUCCAGACCCCUCAUCUCUAACAGACAAGGAUGACCAGAACUUGGGGGAAUCGACCAAAACAAGGAGUGGAAAUGGAAAGAAAAAGUAGACCCUUGACCAAAGACUGUUAAAUGUAAAGCUGUUUUAUUCUUUUUAGAGUAGACAGCAUAUAUGAUGAAUGGUCGUGUACACUUUUGAUUAUCUUCUCAAUAAAUAAUAAUACAUUA